CAAGAGCUCGAGUAUUUGCUUUAGCAACAUUAGAAUGAUGCAGAGAAUAUUAGUAUGGCCUCUCUGUACAAGGAUUACCUACAAAUUCGUGAAUUGUUCUAUAUGUAG